UACCAGCACCCCGAGUGGUCGGGACGAUUAUUGGGCCUAAAGCAUCCGUAGCCGGUUCUACAAGUCUUCCGUUAAAUCCACCUGCUUAACAGAUGGGCUGCGGAGGAUACUAUGGAGCUAGGAGGCGGGAGAGGCAAGCGGUACUUAGUGGGUAGGGGUAAAAUCCGUUGAUCCAUUGAAGACCACCAGUGGCGAAGGCGGCUUGCCAGAACGCACUCGACAGUGAGGGAUGAAAGCUGGGGGAGCAAACCGG
rnacentral:rRNA from 1 species